rnacentral:lncRNA from 1 species
GACUUCAUAGUAAAAAAUUUGCUUUCACAAAGCUUUUACAAAACUUGCAAAGAUCAUCUAUAUGCUUGUCCAAAAUAGCAUGAUAGAUUAGAAUGUCAUCCAAAAUAUUUUAUGGAUAUGUCAUCUUACUAUUCUGCAAAUAUUGAAUUCAAGAGCAUUGAGAGCAUUUUAUGAUGUAUUCCAAUUAUAUAAGUGAACUAGUAUUUGCCAGCAAAAGCUGCAUGGUUAGCAAAGGCACAUAUUAAUCAUUGUGUUAUGCAUUUGUUCUUUUUUUCCUCUUGAUGAGAUUUUUUUUUAUUCCACAAAAAGGAAGCUAUUCCCAAUUGGAGUGAAUUAUCUCAAGCACCCAAGCAAUGCUACAUCUAUGCCUUCUUUGCUAAACAGACACAAUCCAAGAAAAAAGGAAGAAAUCAAACUAUGCUUACUCUUUCCUGGAGUGGAUGGGAUAGGGACUUCCAGCAUCACCAUUGGCUCUAUUGGGAUCUCCUCCUCCUCUGCCAACCUUUGGUGAGACAUAGCUUCCCACCACUCCAAGCUCGUCAAAUCCGUUCCCUUUCUUCAAUUCAGGGCGCUGGGACAUGGCUACUUGCUGAUUACCAGGAUGAGUGCUAGGGUUUACCAGCGUGGCUGCUGCUGCUGCUGCUGCUGCUGAGUCGCCAUAGCUUCUUUCUUCCUCUCACAUUUCUUCUUGCCUAAAAAGCACCACUUCAAAUGAAAUUGUGCCAAGGGCAAAACUAUCGAAGUUCGUCAAUCUCUCCUCAUUAAGUUUCCUCUUUGCAGGAGAGGAAAGAAGUGCUGCAGUAGGGACUGGGUGAAUCACUGUGCCGGGACUUGAGUGUCAUGUUUGGGAAGUGGCCAUUUGAUCUGGCCAAGCUGGAGAACCCUUUCAAAAAUUGAGAACUCGACAAAAUAGAUCAUCCAGAAAGGAUGUCUUGGUGCUAGUGGAGCUUGUUAUCAACACUUUGAAUGUGACACGUGUUGCAAUGCCUUCUUCUCUCACCCCACGCAGCUUGGCCGUCUUCCAUUGGCUGAGAGCAAACAUCAGCACAAUUAUUCGCUAAGACGUGGUUAAAGAAAUAACCCACCUCGCAUUAGACGACUGCGAUUUGGCAGCCCAGAAAGUUCCACACUAUGAUAGAUAUUUCACUCUAAAAGAUAGAUUAUGCUUAAUGUAGCUGCCAGUGGUGGCAUGCCUUUAUAUCCCAAUUCCCAUGUGAACUAGUGCAACACAUAAAGUUUCUAAGGAAAAAUCAGCAUUGGCACUUCAAAAACUCCUUUGGAUCUGCACCUUUAAAGGUGAAAUCGAGAGCAUGAGCCGUAGGAUUGUUUUGUAUCCACGGUUGU